rnacentral:misc_RNA from 1 species
GAUGAAGAACGUAGCGAAAUGCGAUAAGUAAUGUGAAUUGCAGAAUUCAGUGAAUCAUCGAAUCUUUGAAUGCACAUUGCGCCCGCCAGUAUUCUGGCGGGCAUGCCUGUUCGAGCGUCAUUACAACCCUCAGGCCCCCGGGCCUGGCGUUGGGGAUCGGCGGAAGCCCCCUGCGGGCACAACGCCGUCCCCCAAAUACAGUGGCGGUCCCGCCGCAGCUUCCAUUGCGUAGUAGCUAACACCUCGCAACUGGAGAGCGGCGCGGCCACGCCGUAAAACACCCAACUUCUGAAUGUUGACCUCGAAUCAGGUAGGAAUACCCGCUGAACUUAAGCAUAUCAAUAAGCGGAGGA